rnacentral:tRNA from 1 species
GAGGGUAUAGCUCAGUGGUAGAGUGCAUGCCUAGCAUGCACAAGGUCCUAGGUUCAAUCCCUAGUACCUCCA